CAGCCGCCGCGGGAAUACGAAGGGUGCAAGCGUUAAUCGGAAUUACUGGGCGUAAAGCGUGCGUAGGCGGUGAGUUAAGUCUGCUGUGAAAUCCCCGGGCUCGACCUGGGAAUGGCAGUGGAUACUGGCUCGCUAGAGUGUGUCAGAGGAUGGUGGAAUUCCCGGUGUAGCGGUGAAAUGCGUAGAGAUCGGGAGGAACAUCAGUGGCGAAGGCGGCCAUCUGGGACAACACUGACGCUGAGGCACGAAAGCGUGGGGAGCAUACAGGAUUAGAUACCCCAGUAGUCCCUGUCUCUUAUAA
rnacentral:rRNA from 1 species